rnacentral:rRNA from 1 species
AGAGUUUGAUCAUGGCUCAGAACGAACGCUGGCGGCGUGCCUAACACAUGCAAGUCGCGCGGGAAAGUUCCCUUCGGGGAGCGAGUAUAGCGGCGCACGGGUGAGUAAUACGUAGGUAACCUGCCCUCGAGACUGGGACAACCUGUCGAAAGACGGGCUAAUACCGGAUAAGACCACGAGAGCUGCGGCUCUUGGGGUAAAAGGUGGCCUCUGCUUGCAAGCUAUCACUUGAGGAUGGGCCUGCGCGCCAUUAGCUAGUUGGUGAGGUAACGGCUCACCAAGGCAGAGAUGGCUAGCUGGUCUGAGAGGAUGACCAGCCACACUGGGACUGAGACACGGCCCAGACUCCUACGGGAGGCAGCAGUGGGGAAUAUUGCGCAAUGGGCGAAAGCCUGACGCAGCGACGCCGCGUGGGUGAUGAAGGCCUUCGGGUCGUAAAGCCCUGUCGGGAGGGACGAAACAUCGGCGAUCCAAUACAUCGCCGACCUGACGGUACCUCCUAAGGAAGCACCGGCUAACUCCGUGCCAGCAGCCGCGGUAAUACGGAGGGUGCGAGCGUUGUUCGGAAUCACUGGGCGUAAAGCGCGUGUAGGCGGCCUCCUAAGUCUGGUGUGAAAGCCCGGGGCUUACCCCCGGAAGUGCACUGGAUACUGGGAGACUAGAGUACCGGAGAGGAGGGUGGAAUUCCUGGUGUAGCGGU